GGGUACACGUAUUUUAUAAGUUAGCAUUUUGCUCCCUACACCACACGUGUUUUACAUCUGCUUCCUCCACCGUUUUCUCAGCCAAUCAUCUGCGUCACCGCCAUACAUAUGGAUUAAAUCCAUUCUCCACUGUCUUCUCCUUCCCUCGAAACCCUUCGGUUCCCACCCGGCGCAGAUUUGUUACGUGGCCAAUAUUGAUGGCGGUCGACGGUUGACGAUCAUCAUUGUGACUGACGUUGGAGCUGUUGCUGGUGAUCGAUGACUGCUGAAGGAGCAGCAGUCAGAGACCGUUUGGUGGUGGUUCUUUGGAUCAGGGCGCCGACGACAUCAUCGAUUUCCUCUUUUCUUAACGGUUCUACGUUUCCUUCACUGCUUCUCCUAUCAGUUUCCGUUCUUUCUCUGGGAAUCAAUUUAAGGUGUUUGACGGGAUGAGGUUGCAGGAACAGCUGUGUGUGUUCAUGAUUAUUAGAGAAAUUUGAAGAAAUGGACGAAGCGCACCAGGUGUUUGUUAAAAUGACUAUUUAAAAUCUGGGUUUGAAAUCAAUAAAUGGUAAAGUAUUCUUAUCAAUUUCAGCCAUCUUGCUCCACCAACUAAAAUUUAUCAUCCAUUUGCAAAUUUAGCUUUCAAAGUUUACAUUCUCUUAUCAUAAUAUGUUUGUUUAUUUGAAGACUAAUAUGCCCUCAAAAAGGUAAUAUGCAUAAACCAUGAUCACCUUACCAAAACCAUAUCUAAAAAUUUCUCUACAUAUUUCCUAACAAUAUGUAUACAUAUAUCCUACAAACUUAUGUAGGAAAUGCAAUUUAUAAAGCAAGGGAGCUUUACACCUGAGAAGCUUGAUGCUUUAGUUUCUGUGUUAAAAUUGGUGGGAACAGGACAAAUGGGACCUUCAUGAAGAAGUAUAUGUAUUGAAAAUGCUAGACUUUCAUAUAAUAUUACUUAUAAAAUUAUAUACAAUAGUUCUGCUUAAUAUAUAAAAAACCUUACUGCGCGUUUAUAACAAUUUCAGCCGACCAUUGCCCUUGCUUCCUUUUAUUGUAUCUAUAUUGUUUUCGUUCCAUGGAUGAUUUGCAAAUGAAAUUAUUGAAUUUAAUUUUUUUAUAUCUUAUUUUUUAGGAAAAUAACUUAAGGGUUAUAUGCAAGAAACAGCAUCAUACUUCUGUUAUAAUUUUGAUUUUUCACCCACAUAAAUGAUUGUUAGUAUUAUGGAUCGCCUGACUUGCUGCCUCGCUUCCCGUAAAUUAUUUUUCUCACAACAAAACCAUCGGCCGCAGGGGAAAUAUUGUUAGUGUGUGUUGAAAGGGAUUAGGACAAGGAUAAUAACAGACAAAAAGACUAUUCUGCCCGUUUCAGUAAUAUAUUGGCCAGCAGGUUUGAAAAAAAUGAUGAUAGAUGCGGUUGGGGAGAUUAUGAAAGGAUUAAGAUGUUGCAUCGGCCGACCUUUACCAAUUAAUGUAUUUAAAAAUGAUUGUUCAUUUGAAUAUGGGUAGAUAACAACAGUAUACUGUAAGGGAGAAGGCAUGGAGAUUUCAGUGAUUCAAAUAGAUAAUCUAAUCUCAGAUCAACUUAA